GUUUUGACACCAAAUCUUAAAGGUUUUGACGCAGCUGUUGCAGCUGGAGCCAAGGAAGUGGCAAUAUUUGCUGCAGCAUCCGAGUCCUUUUCUCGGUCUAAUAUAAAUUGUAGCAUUGAAGACAGUCUUUCUCGCUAUCGUGAUGUUGCUCUUGCAGCCAAAAACCAUUCCAUCCCUGUUCGCGGGUAUAUAUCAUGUGUCGUUGGCUGUCCCAUAGAAGGAGCGGUGUCUCCAUCAAAAGUUGCAUAUGUGGCUAAAGAACUUGUAGAUAUGGGUUGCUUUGAAAUUUCUCUUGGUGAUACAAUUGGAGUUGGUACUCCAGGUACUGUUAUUCCAAUGCUUGAUGCUGU
rnacentral:misc_RNA from 1 species